CUUAGUCUGUUUUUCAGUUUUAAUUCAAAAACAGAGAGAGUUUCAAUUUUUUUUGGCUCAGAACUUUUGAUCUAGAGAUCCAAUGAGGUUGAUUCUUUUUCCAGUAUAUCACAAUUGUUCUGUAGUUUUCGAAAACAUAUUAUUUGCCUAUGUUUAAAAUUUCACAAUUUAAAUUAGAUCAGAUUUAGUUUAAAUAUUGUUUUGCCUAUUCCAGGAGUUUAAAAAUAGCUUUUGAUUUGAUUCUUUUUGCUGCUGCUUCCUAGUGAUCAUAUCUUUCUGUAGUUUAAGUUUCAAUUUUUUUUCAAAUAUUUUUUGUUGGGGUUUUAUCAAAAACAGAUUCUGUUUUGCUUAUGUUAAGUGAUUUCUUCACUUUAUGCAUUAGUAGUUUUAUUCUAGUGAUGUUAUUUUGCUUGUUAAUGAUUGUAGUGCUUAUGGUGUGUAUUUGUUUGUAUCGAGAGAUCACCCGGAGUGCGAAGCGUGCUACUUCGAAGCGCUCGGUAAUGACAACUAUCAGCAAGGCAAGUCAUUUGAUCAUGUAUUACCUAUGUUUUAUGCAUUGUAGUUCUACCCUUCAAACACCCUAUUGCAUGCUGAGUAGGUACUUGGAAAUAUUGGUUACUUGUUGUAGUAUCAUGUGGUAGGCACCCAACAACCCCGUUACUUGGCCCGGGACGACAAAUUUUAUAUUGCUAUGCUUGUGUAGACGGGGUUCUGGUUGAGAGUUUAUCACGAGUGAUGCGGGAAUAAUUUAAUAACCAAGACCAGUUAAGACAAGACUAUUCAAGACCUCGUGAUGCAAUGCAACUCUGGGUGAAGGACGGUUUAGAUGGGCUCCCUGGAGAAACCAGUGGACGACCCGGGAUGCAUGGAGACGUGCCAUGCCAUCUUGCAGAAAGCUUCACCCAGGCUCGAAGGGAUGGACUGAGGCUUCAAGACCCAAGGCUUACCUGCACAGCCACAAGUCAUUAUGUGCUCUGGCUUGGUUGGACAACGCGGCGACUCUGGACAGGCACCGAUAGGGGAUCAGAGGGACCCGUUGAAAGACCAUGUUCUGAUCAUCCGGUCUUCAAUCACCCUGAAGUGCGAGGACAAACUCGGAGGCGAUCAAAUCUUGUGGGGAACGUGUGCAAAACUCUGCAGAGUACCCAAACCUUAUCGAUUAGUCGUGUCCAUGGUCAUGGACAACUUGAGCCGAAGGCAUUGAAAUUUUCCCGAACUCUCAACACAAUUUAAAAAUGAUGUGGGGAUUAUCGACAACUCGGGUACGAGAAUUGGUUGGUGGAACCAUCUCGUUAACAACAAACAAUGUAGAAAUGUUUUGCUUUUAUCCCUCUCUUGAUGUAGGAGAAAACUUGCUUUUCGCUAAAAACUUAUAGCCCCACCUGCCAUAUAUGCAUGUAGAAUAGAUGAUUACUAUUUCACCCCCUCUCUUUGAUGACUUGUCGGCAUAUUCCAUAUGCUGACCUACACAGCUGCAACGUAUCAUGUUGUAGAGUAUUUUUCUGGCCAGGUGUGAGGCUACGAUCUACGCUCGGUGAUAUGCCCUGGAGUCGGAUGGACUCGUCUACCUUUGAAGCUUCAGCUAGUCUUCGUUAGUUAUCUCAUUAGAUGGCCUCCAGCCACUUUAUUGUAAUCCGUUAUUGUAAUAAAGUACUCGAUAUGAGAUUUUGAUUAAUAAAGCUGUGUGAUGGAACUCUUGAUAUAUACAUUGAUGUACUGAGUGUGUACCAGCAUGAUCUUGGG
rnacentral:lncRNA from 1 species